rnacentral:rRNA from 1 species
ACGCUGGCGGCGUGCCUAAUACAUGCAAGUAGAACGCUGAAGAGAGGAGCUUGCUCUUCUUGAAUGAGUUGCGAACGGGUGAGUAACGCGUAGGUAACCUGCCUUGUAGCGGGGGAUAACUAUUGGAAACGAUAGCUAAUACCGCAUAACAAUGGGUGACACAUGUCAUUUAUUUGAAAGGGGCAAUUGCUCCACUACAAGAUGGACCUGCGUUGUAUUAGCUAGUAGGUGAGGUAACGGCUCACCUAGGCGACGAUACAUAGCCGACCUGAGAGGGUGAUCGGCCACACUGGGACUGAGACACGGCCCAGACUCCUACGGGAGGCAGCAGUAGGGAAUCUUCGGCAAUGGGGGCAACCCUGACCGAGCAACGCCGCGUGAGUGAAGAAGGUUCUCGGAUCGUAAAGCUCUGUUGUAAGUCAAGAACGAGUGUGAGAGUGGAAAGUUCACACUGUGACGGUAGCUUACCAGAAAGGGACGGCUAACUACGUGCCAGCAGCCGCGGUAAUACGUAGGUCCCGAGCGUUGUCCGGAUUUAUUGGGCGUAAAGCGAGCGCAGGCGGUUUGAUAAGUCUGAAGUUAAAGGCUGUGGCUCAACCAUAGUUCGCUUUGGAAACUGUCAAACUUGAGUGCAGAAGGGGAGAGUGGAAUUCCAUGUGUAGCGGUGAAAUGCGUAGAUAUAUGGAGGAACACCGGUGGCGAAAGCGGCUCUCUGGUCUGUAACUGACGCUGAGGCUCGAAAGCGUGGGGAGCGAACAGGAUUAGAUACCCUGGUAGUCCACGCCGUAAACGAUGAGUGCUAGGUGUUGGAUCCUUUCCGGGAUUCAGUGCCGCAGCUAACGCAUUAAGCACUCCGCCUGGGGAGUACGACCGCAAGGUUGAAACUCAAAGGAAUUGACGGGGGCCCGCAC